rnacentral:rRNA from 1 species
ACGAACGCUGGCGGCGUGCUUAACACCUGCCAGUCGCACGGAAAGGCCCUGCUUUUGUGGGGUGCUCGAGUGGCGAACGGGUGAGUAACACGUGAGUAACCUGCCCUUGACUUUGGGAUAACUUCAGGAAACUGGGGCUAAUACCGGAUAGGAGCUCCUGCUGCAUGGUGGGGGUUGGAAAGUUUCGGCGGUUGGGGAUGGACUCGCGGCUUAUCAGCUUGUUGGUGGGGGAGUGGCUUACCAAGGCUUUGACGGGUAGCCGGCCUGAGAGGGUGACCGGCCACAUUGGGACUGAGAUACGGCCCAGACUCCUACGGGAGGCAGCAGUGGGGAAUAUUGCACAAUGGGCGGAAGCCUGAUGCAGCAACGCCGCGUGCGGGAUGACGGCCUUCGGGUUGUAAACCGCUUUCGCCUGUGACGAAGCGUGAGUGACGGUAAUGGGUAAAGAAGCACCGGCUAACUACGUG